GAUAAACGCUGGCGGCGUGCUUAACACAUGCAAGUCGAACGAAGUUUUUCCUUCGGGAGAAACUUAGUGGCGGACGGGUGAGUAACGCGUGGGUAACCUGCCCUGUACAGGGGGACAACAGCUGUAAACGGCUGCUAAUACCGCAUAAGCCCUUAGCACUGCAUGGUGCAUAGGGAAAAGGAGCAAUCCGGUACAGGAUGGACCCGCGUCUGAUUAGCCAGUUGGCAGGGUAACGGCCUACCAAAGCGACGAUCAGUAGCCGAUCUGAGAGGAUGUACGGCCACAUUGGGACUGAGACACGGCCCAGACUCCUACGGGAGGCAGCAGUGGGGAAUAUUGCACAAUGGAGGAAACUCUGAUGCAGCGACGCCGCGUGAGUGAAGAAGUAUUUCGGUAUGUAAAGCUCUAUCAGCAGGGAAGAAAAUGACGGUACCUGGCUAAGAAGCACCGGCUAAAUACGUG
rnacentral:rRNA from 1 species